UACGUAGGGUGCGAGCGUUUGUCCGGAAUUAUUGGGCGUAAAGAGCUCGUAGGCGGUUUGUCACGUCUGCUGUGAAAUCCCGAGGCUCAACCUCGGGCCUGCAGUGGGUACGGGCAGACUGGAGUGCGGUAGGGGAGACUGGAAUUCCUGGUGUAGCGGUGAAAUGCGCAGAUAUCAGGAGGAACACCGAUGGCGAAGGCAGGUCUCUGGGCCACUACUGACGCUGAGAAGCGAAAGCGUGGGGAGCGAACAGG
rnacentral:rRNA from 1 species